rnacentral:tRNA from 1 species
GCCGUCUUAGCUCAGAUAGGUAGAGCGUCACCAUGGUAAGGUGAAGGUCGUCGGUUCAAAUCCGACAGUCGGCU